AUUGAACGCUGGCGGCAGGCCUAACACAUGCAAGUCGAACGCCCCGCAAGGGGAGUGGCGCACGGGUGAGUAACGCGUGGGAAUAUGCCCUUCGGUUCGGAAUAACACAGGGAAACUUGUGCUAAUACCGGAUACGAUCUACGGAUGAAAGAUUCAUCGCCGAAGGAGUAGCCCGCGUAGGAUUAGCUAGUUGGUGAGGUAAUGGCUCACCAAGGCGACGAUCCUUAGCUGGUCUGAGAGGAUGAUCAGCCACACUGGGACUGAGACACGGCCCAGACUCCUACGGGAGGCAGCAGUGGGGAAUAUUGGACAAUGGGCGAAAGCCUGAUCCAGCCAUGCCGCGUGAGUGAUGAAGGCCUUAGGGUUGUAAAGCUCUUUCGCCAGGGAAGAUAAUGACGGUACCUGGAAAAGAAGCCUCGGCUAACUCCGUGCCAGCCGCCGCCGUAAGAC
rnacentral:rRNA from 1 species